CCUCACCGCUGCUAGCCUGGUAGAGAACGUGCAACAUGUGGAAGAUGUUAACCAUGGCAAUUGACAGUAUAUAUUGGAAGAAGAAAAUGAAUUUAUCAGCUUGAAACUGACAUUUCAUCAAACACCCAUAGUGCAAGGAAGUGGAAGCACAAGAAUAAAGCACAAGGAAAUCACGUCAGGCCUGACGAGCGUGUCCCAGCACAGAGCAGCAAGCACCUCGGCAACCUCGAUUGCAGCACGGUGGAUGUCCUCGGGGCUCAGGGUGGCGUAGCGACUGUGGCCGGGUCGACGCAGACCAAGGCAAC
rnacentral:lncRNA from 1 species